AAACAUGGCUCUUUGAGAUUUAUAUAUAAAGAGUCGGGCCUGCCCAGUGAUGUAUUUUUAACGGCCGCGGUACUCUGACCGUGCGAAGGUAGCAUAAUCAUUUGCCCUAUAAUUGAGGGCUAGUAUGAAUGGUUUGACAUGAGCAUAACUGUCUCCUUAAAAUUUUAUAAAAUUUGGUUUUUAGGUGAAGAAACCUAAAUUAAAUUGAAAGACAAGAAGACCCUAUCGAGCUUUAGAAUAAUUAAUUAAAAAAUAUAAAUAAAACAAUUAAUUUUAAUUAAAAACUUUGGUUGGGGCGACUGAGGAACAUAUAAAGCUUCCUUAAUUAAACAAUGCUGAUAAGCAAUGAUCCAGGAAAUCUGAUUAAAAAAAUUAGUUACCGUAGGGAUAACAGCAUAAUCUUUUUUGAGAGCUCUUAUCGAAAAAAAGGUUUGUGACCUCGAUGUUGGACUAGGAUAUCCUAAAGAUGUAGAAGUCUUUAAUGGUUGCUCUGUUCGAGCAUAAAAAUCCUACGUGAUCUGAGUUCAGACC
rnacentral:rRNA from 1 species